AGCAAGUCCAGAGGGUCUCUGGUGGGCUCUCUUCAAAUCCCGCACUCGCUGUGCUCCCUGCUCUGGUAGCUGGAUUACAGCUAGCUCGACUGAGGUAAAACCGUGUGCUGCGGUCCAACCAGUUAAUUACAGCACAGCCUGCAGCAGCAGAAUGAGAAGCAAUGACCUCGCUGAUGAGGCUGCUGGCUAAGAACAUCAUGAAAAUACUGACUAUGUCUAUGGGAGAUCCUGCAGUGCCACCCAAAAGGAUCCUGCCCUGGAAAGUCGGGACAUCAUCAGCCAGGGGUCUGAGAUAACCAACUCUGCUCAAGUGCAAGAUUAGGAACAUCAGGACCUGAAACUAAGACUGGGCCUCAUCCUUCAUUGAAGGGUAAACCCAGAGCUAAGAAGAAUGGGAAAAAUUCGUAUUAUCAUACUUUAUCCUGAGAG